rnacentral:rRNA from 1 species
GGAUUAGGCAUGCAAGUCGAACGAGAUCCUGAGCAUCCAAGUAGCAAUAUGAGGAUGUUCAGGUGACAGUGGCGAAAGGGUGAGUAACACGCGGGUAAUCUGCCCUUAAGUUGGGGAUAGCUCUGCGAAAGCGGAAUUAAUACCGAAUGUGGUCGUCCUUCACAUGAAGGACUAUCCAAAGCCGGGGACCGCAAGGCCUGGCGCUUAAGGAUGAACCCACGUACUAUCAGCUUGUUGGUGAGGUAACGGCUCACCAAGGCUAUGACGGUUAGCUGGUCUGAGAGGAUGGUCAGCCACACUGGGACUGAGACACUGCCCAGACUCCUACGGGAGGCUGCAGUCGAGGAUCAUUCGCAAUGCGCGAAAGCGUGACGGUGCGACGCCGCGUGCAGGAUGAAGGCCUUCGGGUCGUAAACUGCUGUCAUGAGGGAACAAUGUCCGGAAUGUUAACACCAUCUCGGGGUGAUAGUACCUCAAGAGGAAGCCACGGCUAACUCUGUGCCAGCAGCCGCGGUAAUACAGAGGCGGCGAGCGUUGUUCGGAUUUACUGGGCGUAAAGGGCGCGUAGGCGGCCGCGUGUGUGGGGUGUGAAAUCUCCGGGCUCAACCCGGAAAGUGCGCCCCAAACUGCGCGGCUCGAGUGCGGGAGGGGAGAUCGGAAUGCAGGGUGUAGCGGUGAAAUGCGUUGAUAUCCUGCAGAACACCGGUGGCGAAGGCGGAUCUCUGGAACGCAACUGACGCUGAGGCGCGAAAGUCGGGGGAGCAAACAGGAUUAGAUACCCUGGUAGUCCCGACCCUAAACGGUGCACACUUGGGGUGGGGGGAUUUCACCCCCCCCCCGUCCCGUAGCUAACGCGUUAAGUGUGCCGCCUGGGGAGUACGGCCGCAAGGUUAAAACUCAAAGAAAUUGACAGGGGCCCGCACAAGCAGAGGAGCAUGUGGCUUAAUUCGAUGCAGCGCGAAGGACCUUACCCGGGUUUGACAUGCAGCUGCACGGCCUAUGAAAGUAGGCCUCCUUCGAGGGUGCUGCACAGGUGCUGCAUGGCUGUCGUCAGUUCGUGCCGUGAGGUGUUUGGUUAAGUCCAGCAACGAACGCAACCCCUGUGUCCAGUUGCCAGCGCGUAAUGGCGGGAACUCUGGACAGACUGCCCGUUCACACGGGAGGAAGGUGGGGAUGACGUCAAGUCAGUAUGGCCCUUACAUCCGGGGCUGCACACGUGCUACAAUGGCCGGUACAA